rnacentral:tRNA from 1 species
GCCCUGGUAGUGUAGUUCGGUUAUCAUGAAGCCCUGUCGAGGCUUCGACCCGGGUUCGAAUCCCGGCUAGGGCG